rnacentral:rRNA from 1 species
GACGAACGCUGGCGGCGUGCUUAACACAUGCAAGUCGAACGAAGAGCGAUGGACGCUUGCUUCUCUCAAUCUUAGUGGCGGACGGGUGAGUAACGCGUAAUCAACCUGCCCUUCAGAGGGGGACAACAGUUGGAAACGACUGCUAAUACCGCAUACGAUCUAAUCUCGGCAUCGAGGAUAGAUGAAAGGUGGCCUCUACAUGUAAGCUAUCACUGAAGGAGGGGAUUGCGUCUGAUUAGCUAGUUGGAGGGGUAACGGCCCACCAAGGCGAUGAUCAGUAGCCGGUCUGAGAGGAUGAACGGCCACAUUGGGACUGAGACACGGCCCAGACUCCUACGGGAGGCAGCAGUGGGGAAUCUUCCGCAAUGGACGAAAGUCUGACGGAGCAACGCCGCGUGAGUGAUGACGGCCGUCGGGUUGUAAAGCUCGGUUAAUCGGGACGAAAGGCCUUCUUGCGAAUAGUGAGAAGGAUUGACGGUACCGGAAUAGAAAGCCACGGCUAACUACGUG